rnacentral:rRNA from 1 species
AGUGAACGCUGGCGGCAGGCCUAACACAUGCAAGUCGAACGGCAGCACAAGAGAGCUUGCUCUCUGGGUGGCGAGUGGCGGACGGGUGAGGAAUGCAUCGGAAUCUGCCCAUUUGUGGGGGAUAACCUCGGGAAACCGGGACUAAUACCGCAUACGACCUACGGGUGAAAGCAGGGGAUCUUCGGACCUUGCGCAGAUGGAUGAGCCGAUGCCGGAUUAGCUAGUUGGAGGGGUAAAGGCCCACCAAGGCGACGAUCCGUAGCUGGUCUGAGAGGAUGAUCAGCCAAACUGGGACUGAGACACGGCCCAGACUCCUACGGGAGGCAGCAGUGGGGAAUAUUGGACAAUGGGCGCAAGCCUGAUCCAGCCAUGCCGCGUGUGUGAAGAAGGCCUUCGGGUUGUAAAGCACUUUUGUUGGGAAAGAAAAGCAGCCGGUUAAUACCCGGUUGUCAUGACGGUACCCAAAGAAUAAGCACCGGCUAACUUCGUG